AUGUUGGGUUAAGUCCCGCAACGAGCGCAACCCUUAUCGUUAGUUGCCAUCAGGUCAAGCUGGGCACUCUAGCGAAACCGCCUCGGAUAACGGGGAGGAAGGUGGGGAUGACGUCAAGUCCUCAUGGCCUUUAUGUCCAGGGCUACACACGUGCUACAAUGGUCGGUACAAACCGUCGCAAACCCGCGAGGGGGAGCUAAUCGGAAAAAGCCGGCCUCAGUUCGGAUUGAAGUCUGCAACUCGACUUCAUGAAGCUGGAAUCGCUAGUAAUCGCAGAUCAGAACGCUGCGGUGAAUACGUUCCCGGGCCUUGUACACACCGCCCGUCACAUCACGAAAGUGGGUGAUACUAGAAGCCGUUUCGCCAACCCGCAAGGGGGGCUGACGUCCAAGGUAUGACUCAUGAUUGGGGUGAAGUCGUAACAAGGUAA
rnacentral:rRNA from 1 species